rnacentral:rRNA from 1 species
AACGCGAAGAACCUUACCUGGUCUUGACAUCCCAGGAAUCCUGCAGAGAUGCGGGAGUGCCGUAAGGAACCUGGAGACAGGUGCUGCAUGGCUGUCGUCAGCUCGUGUCGUGAGAUGUUGGGUUAAGUCCCGCAACGAGCGCAACCCUUGUCCUUAGUUGCCAUCAUUAAGUUGGGAACUCUAAGGAGACCGCCGGUGACAAACCGGAGGAAGGUGGGGAUGACGUCAAGUCAUCAUGGCCUUUAUGACCAGGGCUACACACGUGCUACAAUGGUAGGUACAGAGGGAAGCCAACGCGCGAGCGGGAGCCAAUCCCAGAAAACCUAUCGUAGUCCGGAUCGGAGUCUGCAACUCGACUCCGUGAAGUCGGAAUCGCUAGUAAUCGCAGAUCAGCAUUGCUGCGGUGAAUACGUUCCCGGGCCUUGUACACACCGCUAGUC